UUUACGGAGAGUUUGAUCCUGGCUCAGGACGAACGCUGGCGGCGUGCUUAACACAUGCAAGUCGAACGAUGAAGCUGGAGCUUGCUCCGGUGGAUUAGUGGCGAACGGGUGAGUAACACGUGAGCAACCUGCCCUUCACUCUGGGAUAACUGCGGGAAACUGUAGCUAAUACCGGAUAUUAGGAUCCGAGGCAUCUCGGAUCUUGGAAAGAAUUUCGGUGAAGGAUGGGCUCGCGGCCUAUCAGCUUGUUGGUGAGGUAAAGGCUCACCAAGGCGACGACGGGUAGCCGGCCUGAGAGG
rnacentral:rRNA from 1 species